AUCGAGCCUCCGGAGAGGGAUAUCGACGAUCUCCCAAAAAAUCCGGCGAACUACACCGCCCUAACCCCUCUCUGGUUCCUCGAACGGGCGGCGCUGGUCCACCCCAACCGCCUCUCCGUCGUCCACGGCGUCGCCCGCUACACCUGGGCCGACACCUACAGCCGCUGCCGCCGCCUUGCCUCCGCCCUUGCCGCCAGAUCCAUCGGUCCCGGCAGCACG
rnacentral:misc_RNA from 1 species